GACGAACGCUGGCGGCGUGCCUAACACAUGCAAGUCGAACGGAGAGAUCCGACAGCUUGCUCUUGUACAUCUUAGUGGCAAACGGGUGAGUAACGCGUAACCAACCUGCCCCACGGAUGGGGACAACAGACGGAAACGACUGCUCAUACCCAAUAGACUCCCGGUUCGCAUGAGACCGACAGGAAAGGUGGCCUCUCGAAGAAGCUACCGCCGCAGGAGGGGUUUGCGUUUGAUUAGGUUGUUGGUGCGGUAACGGCGUACCAAGGCGAGGAUCAAGAGCAGGGCUGAGAUGAUGGACGGCCACACUGGAACGGUGACACGGUCCAGACGGCUACGGGAGGCAGCAGGGGUGCAUCGGGCGCAAUGGAUGAAAGACUGACGGAGCAACGCCGCGGGAUGGAAGAAGGCCUUCGGGUUGGAAAGCUCGGUUAUUCGGGAAUAACGAUUCUUUUGUAAAUAAGGAGCGGAAGUGACGGUACCGAAAGAGAAAGCCACGGCUAACUACGUG
rnacentral:rRNA from 1 species